GUACCCCACUGGAAUUAUCCAGUGCAGCAAGUUCCCAUAAUCUCCUGGCUCCGUGCGUGGAAGCAGCUCACACAACCGACUCAGUGCACACGUUUAGAGUUUGUCGCUUUGGGUUUCAUCAGCCUGUGCAUGCGCAUGGCAAUAGGUAUCGGUUCUGCACAAGCGCCUCUCAUUCAAACUCUCGUGUGUGUGCCUGCAUGUCCUGUGCCCGGAGUCCUGUUCACCCUCUGUACCAUACGGUACUUGCAUGCAGGAGCUGUUUACAAUUAAAAUUGCUGUGAAAUAAGUCCUGAGGAAUUUGGCUUUGUAUCGCCUUUUUCGCAUUUGAGGAAUGCCAUGGGAUUGAUCUCUGACCUGGAGGGCAACACAGAGGUGACCUCCACCUCUGACCUCUCUUCCUCCAAAGGACCCAGCUGGGCUAUGUUUACAGCAGCAGCCUGCCAGCCCUGGGCUGCUCUGCAAGUACCACCCUCAAGCACAGGGUUUCCUGUGAUCUUGAAGCAAAUUUUCCCGCUUGCCCAUGUUUCAGUUUUAGUAGCAGUUAUACCGAGGCUGCUGGCUGUUCGGCAAGAAUGUAUUGUUAGAGGAGCAGCAGAAGGAUUUUUAUGCAACAGGCACAGCUGGAGAAUUUACCUCUGCACUGUGCCCACUGUGGUUUCAGCCUCAUUUCUCUCUGGGAGAAGUAACGGAACUUCUGGGAUUGCUCUGCACCAAGGGCAGGGCAAAGUCCAGCAGCAGAGGUGCGGUGGUUUCAGCUGCUCUCUUGAAGACACUCAGGGUCUGGUUUUGGUAUUAGAGGGCAAGUGAGGACUACCUGAACUGAAAUUCCCCUGACAUCCAGAAAUCACUAAGAAAAGGAAAUUCUGGGGACGGUAACUGGUGAAGAUUUAUUUCAUUGUGUACUUCUGAAGAAAAAUCCAUGUUACAAAACAAGGGCUGGAGUUGUGGCAGAUGGUGCUUUUCUGAAGAAGAAAUAAGUGUUUAAUAAAUAUUGUAAUAGUGUGAACCAGAUGUUCAUCUCACAUUUUAUCUUUGAAAACAUUUGGGAGGAUGCCAGAUAGAUACAUAUGUGAAUCACAGAUCUUGAAAAAAUACACAACUGGAUCCCCAGGGGCUCAUUAAGGGAGGAGUAACUUUCUGCGAGCCAUCAAACUCAACUGUAAAAGCAAGAUCUGUUAAAGCUGUGACUAAGUAUCUCCUAGGAACUCCCUUUCACCUUUCACAGAGGCAGAGUGGCACUCCAGUAGAAUGACAGCAGUAAUCUGGUUUUUCAAGGAAAAUGAUGGCUCCAGUUUCAUCAAGUAUUUUGGAAAGUAAUACUUAACUAAGUAAGGAAAGCUUGUAAUGAACUGCUACUCUUAUCAGGCUUUGUCUGGCUCUCCACUGGGAUGCAGAGGUGCGUCCCUAGCUAUACAGGGCAACAUUUUCAAGUGCUCUAUGUAUUGGGCCUUCCAGCAAAAUGUUUUUUGUGUCUGAAUUACUCUUGCUAUGUGACAUCCUUCCAGUCUUCAGUGAGCUGUCCCAAUUUCUUCUCAUGCAGUGGAGAAGUGCUCCCAGCCCUGCUCUCUCCACCUGCAGCUGAGCUACCCAAAGGCUCAUCUUCAUACUAGGUGCUCCUGGCAGAGCACAAGCAUGAGGUCAGAGCUCCCAGUCUGGUGCUGAGCUCUUGUGACAAGACUAUUUUAAUCCCCAUGUACCUGUCACUCCUCUGUGUGUGCCAGGCACACUCUCCCUGGGUGACACUUCAGUUACCUGGGAGCAUCACAACUGUGCCUGUACUUCUGCUCGGGUACGGGCACCCCCCUGCCUCCCUCCAUCCCCCAGGGCUGGCUGGCAUGAGAGUGACUUCACUGGACGUGGCUAUAGAAGAUCAGCUAUCUCGACCUUGUUUCCCUUUCGUGCUUACAGUAAACAAAUUCUUGAUUCCAACCAAGAUCUCCUGCCUUACUGUCUUCACUUAGA